rnacentral:rRNA from 1 species
UACAGAGGUCUCAAGCGUUGUUCGGAUUUACUGGGCGUAAAGGGCGCGUAGGCGGCCCUCCUUGUCGCGUGUGAAAGCCCCGGGCUCAACCUGGGAACGGCGCGCGAGACGGGGGGGCUGGAGUUCGGGAGAGGAGCGUGGAAUUCCCAGUGUAGAGGUGAAAUUCGUAGAUAUUGGGAAGAACACCGGUGGCGAAGGCGGCGCUCUGGACCGAGACUGACGCUGAGGCGCGAAAGCGUGGGGAGCGAACAGG